CCACAUAUAGGCAGCCCGCCAGGCUCCCCGGAAGUGCGUCGUACUCCGCUUCUCUUGGUUACGCCCUCAACAGCUUCAGGUGUCUCCCGACUGACAGUUGGCGGCCCUGCGGCUUUCGGGUCCUUGUUCCCACCUCUCCUGGCGCCAGCGUUUCCGCCUGGCUUCCCGGGAGACCGAAGUGUCCUGUCUGGUGCGGCCGCCCCCGGGCCAGGUGGGAUCCAGCUGCAUCUCCGGGAACUCGGGCGCCCUCAGCCCCGGGGCCGCCCUCGCGGGGCGCAGGACCCGGCUGGAGCUCCAGACCGCCCGCAUUUGCUGUCCGUGCGGCCCGGGGAAGGAUAGCCUAAGUCUGUAUUUCCUCUGUGCGGGUCGGGCCUCAGCAUCAGUGACUGCAGCUACCUUACCUCCUCCCUCCACAUUCCUGAGCAGGACGCUAGGGAGGAGUCCAGCCUGGCCGGAAGAGGUAAGGCGCCCCCCACCCCCCCAUCCAAGUUUAGCACCAGGGCCAAAGAUCAGGUACCUGCAGUGUGCCCGUGUCUGCAUCCUCCUUGUAACCAGGAUUUAAAACUCUGUGUGAGGAGUGCUGUUCCUUUGUCCCGGGUGCAGAGAACUUCCUGGAGAGAUCCAGAUCUCUUGCCCACUGAUGUAUUAAACUCCUCUCUAUUCACCACA